CCUACGGGAGGCAGCAGUAGGGAAUAUUGCUCAAUGGGGGAAACCCUGAAGCAGCAACGCCGCGUGGAGGAUGAAGGUUUUCGGAUUGUAAACUCCUUUUGUUAGAGAAGAUAAUGACGGUAUCUAACGAAUAAGCACCGGCUAACUCCGUGCCAGCAGCCGCGGUAAUACGGAGGGUGCAAGCGUUACUCGGAAUCACUGGGCGUAAAGAGCGCGUAGGCGGGAUAGCAAGUCAGAUGUGAAAUCCUAGGGCUUAACCAUAGAACUGCAUUUGAAACUGUUAUUCUAGAGUAUGGGAGAGGUAGGUGGAAUGCUUGGUGUAGGGGUAAAAUCCGUAGAGAUCAAGAAGAAUACUCAUUGCGAAGGCGACCUGCUAGAACAUAACUGACGCUGAUGCACGAAAGCGUGGGGAGCAAACAGGAUUAGAUACCCGAGUAGUC
rnacentral:rRNA from 1 species